CGCGUGGAUAACCUGCCGUAUACCGGGGGAUAACACUUGGAAAUAGGUGCUAAUACCGCAUAAGCGCACGGCUCCGCAUGGGGCAGUGUGAAAAACUCCGGUGGUAUACGAUGGAUCCGCGUCUGAUUAGCUAGUUGGCGGGGUAACGGCCCACCAAGGCAGCGAUCAGUAGCCGGCCUGAGAGGGUGGACGGCCACAUUGGGACUGAGACACGGCCCAAACUCCUACGGGAGGCAGCAGUGGGGAAUAUUGCACAAUGGGGGAAACCCUGAUGCAGCGACGCCGCGUGAGUGAAGAAGUAUCUCGGUACGUAAAGCUCUAUCAGCAGGGAAGAAAAUGACGGUACCUGACUAAGAAGCCCCGGCUAACUACGUGCCAGCAGCCGCGGUAAUACGUAGGGGGCAAGCGUUAUCCGGAUUUACUGGGUGUAAAGGGAGCGUAGACGGCAGCACAAGUCUGGAGUGAAAUCCCGGGGCUUAACCCCGGAACUGCUUUGGAAACUGUGCGGCUGGAGCGCAGGAGGGGUAAGCGGAAUUCCUAGUGUAGCGGUGAAAUGCGUAGAUAUUAGGAGGAACACCGGUGGCGAAGGCGGCUUACUGGACUGUAACUGACGUUGAGGCUC
rnacentral:rRNA from 1 species